rnacentral:rRNA from 1 species
AUUGAACGCUGGCGGCAGGCCUAACACAUGCAAGUCGAACGGUAACAGGGAUCAGCUUGCUGAUUCGCUGACGAGUGGCGGACGGGUGAGUAAUGUCUGGGAAACUGCCUGAUGGAGGGGGAUAACUACUGGAAACGGUAGCUAAUACCGCAUAACGUCGCAAGACCAAAGAGGGGGACCUUCGGGCCUCUUGCCAUCGGAUGUGCCCAGAUGGGAUUAGCUAGUAGGUGGGGUAACGGCUCACCUAGGCGACGAUCCCUAGCUGGUCUGAGAGGAUGACCAGCCACACUGGAACUGAGACACGGGCCAGACUCCUACGGGAGGGAGCAGUGGGGAAUAUUGCACAAGGGGCGCAAGCCUGAUGCAGCCAUGCCGCGUGUAUGAAGAAGGCCGUCGGGUUGUAAAGUACUUUCAGCGGGGAGGAAGGGAGUAAAGUUAAUACCUUUGCUCAUUGACGUUACCCGCAGAAGAAGCACCGGCUAACUCCGUGC